UUCAAAAGAAAGAAAUCCAAAACAACAGAGCAGGACAGAGCAGCAGAAGCCAGCAGUGCUAGUCAGUCUGAGGAUGAGAGCCAGCUUGACUCUGCUAGGGAUGUACAGCAGGAGCCUCCAGCUUCAGCUGUACACAUGGGUAUGUAAAAUCCUGAUAGUUCCAGAUUUCUCUUUAGUAAGCACUUAUUUGAUUGCCUUGAUAAUAUCAAUGACAUUGUGGUUAAUUGCCAGACAUUGAAACUAAAGUUGACACUAACUUCUCAAUUAGUGUAGAAGUGCAAUAGUCAUUAUUUCAUUUUAGUCAUCUGGGUUGCGUAACAUACCACUUAGCCUACUUACAAAAAGGCUGAUUUUAUUAUCAUUCUGAUGACAACGUAUGUGUUUUUGUAGACUCAGACAAGGAUACUGGUGAUGAAGGCCCUUCAUCUUCACUUGCACAUCAGGGUGUGUCAAGUCAGCCACUCUCUGACAAUGACACUGACACUGAGAACCAUCCAGCAGUACCUGCAGGCCAUGCAGUGACACGUGGGGAUGGUGAUGCAGCAGCCCUUGUGGCCCCACCUGGACCUCAUGAUAUUUCACAGUCAAGAGCAGCAGGUCCCUCUCAGCCUCGUUUAAAGGUUUUUCCAAGAACCCUCCAAGGUGAGAAGAGGAGG